rnacentral:rRNA from 1 species
AUUGAACGCUGGCGGCAGGCCUAACACAUGCAAGUCGAGCGGAUGAAGGGAGCUUGCUCCUGGAUUCAGCGGCGGACGGGUGAGUAAUGCCUAGGAAUCUGCCUGGUAGUGGGGGAUAACGUCCGGAAACGGGCGCUAAUACCGCAUACGUCCUGAGGGAGAAAGUGGGGGAUCUUCGGACCUCACGCUAUCAGAUGAGCCUAGGUCGGAUUAGCUAGUUGGUGGGGUAAAGGCCUACCAAGGCGACGAUCCGUAACUGGUCUGAGAGGACGAUCAGUCACACUGGAACUGAGACACGGUCCAGACUCCUACGGGAGGCAGCAGUGGGGAAUAUUGGACAAUGGGCGAAAGCCUGAUCCAGCCAUGCCGCGUGUGUGAAGAAGGUCUCCGGAUUGUAAAGCACUUUAAGUUGGGAGGAAGGGCAGUAAGUUAAUACCUUGCUGUUUUGACGUUACCAACAGAAUAAGCACCGGCUAACUUCGUG